CCCUUAGAUGUUCUGGGCCGCACGCGUGCUACACUGAGUAAUUCAAUGGGUAAGGGAACGCUAGAGCAUUACCUAAUCUUGAAAUUUGCUCGUGAUGGGGAUCGACUGUUGCAAUUUUCCGUCGUGAACGAGGAAUACCUUGUAGGCGCAUGUCAUCAUCAUGCGCCGAAUACGUCCCUGCCCUUUGUACACACCGCCCGUCGCUCCUACCGAUUGAGUGAUCCGGUGAGGCUCUGGGACCUGGACGGAAAGAGCGUUUCGCUUGUUCUGUUUGGGAAACUUGGUCGAACCUUAUCAUUUAGAGGAAGGAGAAGUCGUAACA
rnacentral:rRNA from 1 species